CAAACACAAAAAUGUGUCUCGCCCUCUCCUAGUCUGCUGUCUCUCUGAGCUCGAUCUAUUGGCUUGGUGCAAUUCGAUUUCUGAUCUCUCAGGAUUUGUUCUGUUCCAAAGCCAGUUACUCACUAUUCUGUAAAAAUGCCUCUCAGACUCGAGAUCAAGAGAAAACUUGCGCAAAGAUCAGAAAGAGUAAAAUCCGUGGAUCUGCAUCCAACAGAACCAUGGGUUCUAGCAAGUUUAUACUCAGGAACUGUCUGUAUUUAUAACUACCAGUCUCAGACCAUGGCAACGUCGUUUGAGGUCACUGAGUUACCAGUUAGGUCAGCCAAGUUUAUUGCACGCAAGCAGUGGGUUGUUGCUGGAGCAGAUGAUAUGUUUAUUCGUGUGUAUAAUUACAACACAAUGGAUAAAGUUAAAGUAUUUGAAGCACAUACAGAUUACAUAAGGUGCGUGGCAGUUCACCCUACCCUUCCUUAUGUCCUGUCAUCUUCUGAUGAUAUGCUCAUAAAGCUUUGGGAUUGGGAGAAAGGUUGGGUAUGUACUCAGAUAUUUGAGGGACAUUCUCAUUAUGUCAUGCAAGUGGCAUUUAAUCCUAAGGACACCAAUACAUUUGCCAGUGCAUCUCUAGAUCGCACCAUAAAGAUUUGGAAUCUUGGCUCUCCUGACCCCAAUUUUACAUUGGAUGCUCAUCAGAAAGGAGUGAAUUGUGUUGAUUACUUUACAGGCGGUGACAAGCCUUAUCUGAUUACUGGUUCCGAUGACCACACUGCUAAGGUAUGGGACUAUCAGACCAAAAGUUGUGUCCAGACUCUAGAAGGUCACACGCACAAUGUAUCUGCCGUAUGCUUUCAUCCUGAUCUUCCCAUAAUUAUUACUGGUUCAGAGGAUGGUACAGUGCGCAUAUGGCAUUCAACAACUUAUAGACUCGAGAACACAUUGAAUUAUGGUCUUGAAAGAGUCUGGGCUAUUGGAUACAAUAAAGGUUCACGUCGGGUUGUGCUUGGCUAUGAUGAGGGAACUAUUAUGGUCAAACUGGGCCGCGAAGAGCCUGUGGCCAGCAUGGACAAUAGUGGGAAAAUUAUUUGGGCUAAACACAAUGAAAUUCAGACUGUCAAUAUAAAGAGUGUAGGAGCAGAUGUGGAGGUUGCUGAUGGAGAAAGAUUACCUUUGGCUGUUAAGGAGUUGGGCACCUGUGAUCUCUACCCACAAAGUUUAAGGCACAAUCCAAAUGGGAGGUUUGUUGUCGUAUGUGGAGAUGGUGAGUAUAUUAUAUACACUUCAUUGGCAUGGAGAAACAGGUCAUUUGGUUCGGCACUGGAAAUUGUCUGGUCUUCAGACGGAGAAUAUGCUGUCAGAGAAAGUACAUCAAAGAUAAAAAUUUUCACAAAAAAUUUCCAGGAAAAGAAGAGUAUUCGACCACCUUUUUCUGCUGAACGACUAUUUGGUGGCAACUUAUUAGCAAUGUGCUCAAAUGAUUUCAUUUGCUUUUAUGAUUGGAGUGAAUGCAGGUUAAUCCGUCGCAUUGAUGUUAAUGUAAAAAACCUCUACUGGGCUGAUAGUGGUGAUCUAGUGACAAUUGCUAGUGAUACAUCAUUCUACAUUCUGAAGUACAAUCGUGAUAUAGUUGCAUCGUAUUUGGAUGGUGGAAGACCUGCCGAUGAGCUAGGGGUGGAAGAUGGAUUUGAGCUCCUUCAUGAAAUAAACGAACGGGUUAGGACAGGCAUCUGGGUUGGAGAUUGUUUUAUUUACAACAAUUCCUCCUGGAGGCUUAAUUACUGCGUUGGUGGUGAGGUUACUACAAUGUUUCACUUGGAUCGCCCUAUGUACUUGUUGGGAUAUCUUGCUAGCCAAAGUCGGGUCUAUUUGAUAGACAAAGAGUUUAACGUCAUGGCAUACACAUUGCUUUUGAGCUUGAUUGAGUACAAGACUCUUGUAAUGCGCGGUGAUUUGGGUAGGGCCAAUGAAGUUCUACCUUCAAUUCCUAAAGACCACCAUAAUAGUGUGGCUCGUUUCCUGGAAUCACGAGGGAUGACAGAGGAUGCUCUUGAAGUAGCAACUGAUCCUGACUACAGAUUUGAGUUAGCCAUGCAGCUUGGGAGAGUGGAGGUGGCAAAGAGUAUUGCAACAAAAGUGCAAAGUGAGUCUAAAUGGAAGCAGUUGGGAGAAUUGGCAAUGUCUACUGGAAAGUUAGAAAUGGCUGAAGAAUGUUUAAGGAAUGCAAGGGAUUUGAGUGGAUUGUUACUGCUAUAUUCUUCUUUAGGAGAUGCUGAGGGAAUAUUGAAUCUUGCGACCCUUGCUAAAGAGCAAGGGAAGAACAAUGUUGCGUUCCUUUGCAUGUUCAUGUUGGGUAAACUUGAAGACUGCCUUCAACUGUUGGUAGAGAGCAAUCGGAUUCCUGAAGCUGCUUUAAUGGCACGGUCUUAUCUCCCAAGCAAGGUCUCGGAGAUUGUAGCAAUUUGGAGAAAAGAUCUCCAUAAGGUUAGCCCUAAAGCUGCUGAGUCAUUGGCCGAUCCUGAGGAGUAUCCUAAUUUGUUUGAAGAUUGGCAAGUUGCUGUUGCUGUUGAAUCUAAAGCUGCAGAGACAAGGGGCGUUUACCCUCCUGCAGAGGAGUAUGUCAAACAUGCUGGAAAGUCGUGUGUUACCCUUGUCGAUGCUUUAAGAAACAUGCAGAUUGAAGAAGGGGAGGAGCUUCUUGAGAAUGGAGAUUCUAAUCAUGAGUUGAUUGAAGAGAAUGAAGAAGAGCUCAAUGCAGAGGAAAAGGAGGAGGAACAGAAUGGAGAGGAGGCAGUUGUGGUGGAUGCUGAUUCUACAGAUGGUGCAGUACUCGUUAAUGGCAACGAGGCUGAUGAAGAGUGGGGUACGAAUCAUGAAGGAGCCCCGUCAACCUAAAAGCAAUUUGUUGGGCAGUGUGAAAAAUCCAAAUUUUGUCUCUGUGCUCACUUCACAUCACUAGGUCUCAUCAAGACAGUCGGUUCCAGCUACAGUGGAUGUAUAUGAGGUUUCAGUCACGGAGGCCAAUGUUGUGAUUGUGGAGAUCGAUUGUUCUCAUUUCCUGGUAUUGUGGUUUUAGAAUGCCGACUUUGCUCAUCUUGAUCGUGGUAUAACGGUAUAACAGUAUAGCAUAGGGUCAGUUUACAAUUUACAUUUUGUGAUAUUACAUGUAGCAUUCUUCUGAGGAUUCUUACCUCGAUAGGCUUGUCUCAUUUUGAAAGUAGAAAACUGAGCUAAUGAUAUGAUUGAUCGUUCAAAUUCUAGGUGGUAAUAUUGGUCCUAAAAAUGUUGAUUACUGGUAUUCUUUUUGGAUUGAAACUCGGACCUUUUACAGCAAAAAAUAAAGAUUCUUUCCCAGAAUCUUGUUUCCGUUGAGAUGAUGUUGUUCAAGCUCUUCAAACCGUAUCAUGUCUUUCUAAUAAUAUACAGUCAGAUAAUUUUGUUUCCCA